rnacentral:rRNA from 1 species
GACGAACGCUGGCGGCGUGCCUAAUACAUGCAAGUCGAACGCAGUGGGGACGGGUGAGUAACCCGUGGGUAACCUCCCAUCAGAGGGGAUAACACUUGGAAACAGGUGCUAAAACGAUACUGUUGGAUGGACCCUCGGUGCACUAGCUAGUUGGUGGGUGAACGGCUCACCAAGGCCACGAUGCAUAGCCGACCUGAGAGGGUGAGCGGCCACACUGGGACUGAGACACGGCCCAGGCUCCUACGGGAGGCAGCAGUCGGGAAUCUUCGGCAAUGGACUAAAGGCUGACCGAGCGACUCCGCGUGAGUGAAGAAGGUUUUCGGAUCGUACAACUCUGUUGUUAGAGAAGCGGUAUCUAACCAGAAAGCCACGGCUAACUACGUGCCAGCAGCCGCGGUAAUAC